AGCCCAUCAUCACCCUUAAAAUAAUUAGUAAAUUUUAAUAUUAAUCUCUAAUUAAUUUAAUUAGGAUCAAUAGUGAAGACCCAAAUAAAUAAAAUCUCGUUGGGCUCAAUUAAAUAAUAAUUGGAGCCCAACGUAAUUAGUGCAAAUCUUAGUACCAUGAAAUGGGUUAGGCCCAAUUGAGAAAGCCCAAAAUUUCGGCCCAAACCCGGCCCAAAAUCCUCCCCUUUUCUUCCCCAAAUUCACGCCUCUUUAUCUCUCUCUCUACCGACAUCUCUUUCUCUUUUUUUUUUUCGGUUCUCUCUCUCUCUUUUAUCAAAACACACUCACACAAACUUUUUAAUCUUUCUCUCUUCUCACAACAAAACACACGCACACACACUUUUUUUUUAUUCUCUCUCUCUCUUCAAUCACCACACACACACUUUAUAUAAUCUCCCUCUCUCUAUCUUUUUUUUUUAAAAAUAUUCCUUCUCUCCCUCUACCUUUAUUAAAAGCAUAACACUCCUCUCUUUAUUCAAUCACCACAUGCACACACACAUUGAAGUAUCUCUCUCUCUCUCACCGAAAACUCAUGCUGCUCACAUCUCUCCCUCUCUUCCCUUCUCUAUCCAUCGCCCUCCCUCUUCCUCGAACUUCCGCCGGCGAGGCUCCUCCUCACACGUCUCGCACACACACCAGUCACCGGGAACACCCCUCGCCUCUUCCUCCUCCGCCUGACACCCCCACACAACGCAGAACUCUCCCUCUCUCUCAAAGCUCACGACACGCGCAACGCAGCAGCGCGACAUCGCCCUCAACUCCGGCGACAUCGCCGUCGAGCCGCCCUCUCUCCCCUCAACCUUCCUCUCUCUCUCACAAAGCUCCGCCGCUGCGGAAGCUCGCCGGGAAGCAGCGGCGAUAAGCCGCCGUCACCCACUGCUCUCCCCUCUCUCCGUCCGUGGACGAGCGCCAACA
rnacentral:lncRNA from 1 species